rnacentral:lncRNA from 1 species
GAGUUGGUUUGUAUUAAUUUUAUAACUUAUCUAAACUAAUCCUUCAAACUAUAUGGAUGAUGUAAUUAAAGUAAAUUGCUUUUUUUUCUCCCUCAGCUCAGUCCAUUUUUAAGACAUUCUGUUCUGAAGAGAACAUACAAUGUCACUCUGCCACAUCCAUCCUCUAAGAAAGAAACUAAGAAAGAAACUACCAGUCGUAAAGGACAAAAAGCUAAACAAAAACUUUGAAGAGACAGGUUGCAGUAUUCUAACUGAUGCAUCCCAAAGGUAAUGUUUCUUAAUAUAAAGGUAAGCUGACAGUCUUCUCACAGAGAACUACUUCCGGUGUGAUGAGGUCAUCCAUCCGAUGCUUAAAGAACAGUUUCCAGUCUAUCCUCUGGAGACAGAAACGUUUGUUGCCGUACCACAUGUAAUUCUUCUUGUUCAUCAAAUUUCCCCACUAUAAUAUAUAUAUUAUAUGCAUGUAUACGUGCAUGCAUGCAUACAUACAUUCUCCAUUGUAUUCUUUCUAAACAUACUUUUGAUGCCUCUAUAGGAAAUACAGUGCUAAAUAAAGACAACUGAUGAAAGCUCUCUUUAGAAUCUUUCUGUAAUUAGAGAAUAUGGUCAUGUUCUGCACAUCAACAUGUAAAACAAAACAAAUGCUG